rnacentral:rRNA from 1 species
GACGUAGGGCGCGAGCGUUGUCCGGAUUUAUUGGGCGUAAAGAGCUCGUAGGCGGCUUGUCGCGUCGACCGUGAAAACUCGCAGCUCAACUGCGAGCCUGCGGUGGAUACGGGCAGGCUAGAGUUCGGUAGGGGAGAGUGGAAUUCCUGGUGUAGCGGUGAAAUGCGCAGAUAUCAGGAGGAACACCGGUGGCGAAGGCGGGUCUCUGGGCCGAUACUGACGCUGAGGCGCGAAAGCAUGGGUAGCGAACAGG